rnacentral:rRNA from 1 species
CCAAUCUCUGGAUCCUCGGGGAAAGUUUCUCGUACGGGUGAUUAACGCGUUAAGACUUGCCCUUCAGACUGGGACCACAUGUUGGAAACGGAAUGCUAAUACCGGAUAUUAUGACUUGAGUCGCAUGAUUUUGGUUAUUGAAAGCUAUAUGCCUGUUGAGAGACUUGCGUCCCAAUAGUUAAUUGGCGAGUAACGGCUCACCAAGACGAUGAUGGGUAACCGGCCUGAGAGGGUGAACGNCCACAAGGGGACUGAGACACGGCCCUGUACUCCUACGGGAGGCAACAUGGGGAAUAUUGGACAAUGGACCAAAGCCUGAUCCAGCAAUUCUGUGUGCACGAUGAAGUUUUUCGGAAUGUAAAGUGCUUUCAUUGGGAAGAAGUCAGUGACGGUACCAACAGAAGAAGCGACGGCUAAAUACGUGCCAGCAGCCGCGGUAAUACGUAUGUCGCAAGCGUUAUCCGGAUUUAUUGGGCGUAAAGCGCGUCUAGGCGGUUUAGUAAGUCUGAUGUGAAAAUGCGGGGCUCAACCCCGUAUUGCGUUGGAAACUGCUAAACUAGAGUACUGGAGAGGUAGGCGGAACUACAAGUGUAGAGGUGAAAUUCGUAGAUAUUUGUAGGAAUGCCGAUGGGGAAGCCAGCCUACUGGACAGAUACUGACGCUAAAGCGCGAAAGCGUGGGUAGCAAACAGGAUUAGAUACCCUGGUAGUCCACGCCGUAAACGAUGAUUACUAGGUGUUGGGGGUCGAACCUCAGCGCCCAAGCUAACGCGAUAAGUAUCCGCCUGGGGAGUACGUACGCAAGUA